AGUCGAGGGGUAGAGUUCUUCGGAACUUGAGACCGGCGCACGGGUGCGUAACGCGUAUGCAAUCUACCUUUUACAGAGGGAUAGCCCAGAGAAAUUUGGAUUAAUACCUCAUAGUAUUAUAGAAUGGCAUCAUUUUAUAAUUAAAGUCACAACGGUAAAAGAUGAGCAUGCGUCCCAUUAGCUAGUUGGUAAGGUAACGGCUUACCAAGGCUACGAUGGGUAGGGGUCCUGAGAGGGAGAUCCCCCACACUGGUACUGAGACACGGACCAGACUCCUACGGGAGGCAGCAGUGAGGAAUAUUGGACAAUGGGCGCAAGCCUGAUCCAGCCAUGCCGCGUGCAGGAUGACGGUCCUAUGGAUUGUAAACUGCUUUUAUACGAGAAGAAACACUGCUUCGUGAAGCAGCUUGACGGUAUCGUAAGAAUAAGGAUCGGCUAACUCCGUGCCAGCAGCCGCGGUAAUACGGAGGAUCCAAGCGUUAUCCGGAAUCAUUGGGUUUAAAGGGUCCGUAGGCGGUUUAAUAAGUCAGUGGUGAAAGCCCAUCGCUCAACGGUGGAACGGCCAUUGAUACUGUUAAACUUGAAUUAUUAGGAAGUAACUAGAAUAUGUAGUGUAGCGGUGAAAUGCUUAGAGAUUACAUGGAAUACCAAUUGCGAAGGCAGGUUACUACUAAUUGAUUGACGCUGAUGGACGAAAGCGUGGGUAGCGAACAGGAUUAGAUACCCUGGUAGUCCACGCCGUAAACGAUGGAUACUAGCUGUUGGGAGCAAUCUCAGUGGCUAAGCGAAAGUGAUAAGUAUCCCACCUGGGGAGUACGUUCGCAAGAAUGAAACUCAAAGGAAUUGACGGGG
rnacentral:rRNA from 1 species